GACAGGCUCAUUUCUUUCCUGAAGGUAAAUAAAAUUCAUUAAUUCAUAAUAAAAGACAAUAAUUGCAGCACUAAUUAUUCCCUAAAAAACAGGACCUUGAUGAGAUGGACAAGGUUCUUCUUCCAAGGAUUGUUGGUGGAGAGAGCCCAGAAAAGGGAAAUCACUUCAUUUUGUGGGUCUUAGAUGGUUUGGUCAGGCAGAUUCGAGUUUAUGACUCCCUUGGUCAAUACAAAUCUAUUUCAAAGGAGGACAUGGCCAUACUGAGCAAUGCAUUCAGACAUACAUGGGACUUGCAGAAUUGGACUGUUGAGUACCCAGCACAGUGGAUGCAGACCGACUGUAACAACUGUGGGGUUUUGGUUUGU